UUAUUCACAAAUGUAGAUCUCGAACAAACAGUUCGAAGCUCACAUUCAAAUGAUUCGAUUUUUUUCCGAUUUUGAAAAAGUCAACAAACCCUAACACGUGUGUAAAUGUCAGGUAGGGUCAGUGACAAAAGGUUCAUCUCAGCUUUUUUUCUACACCUAUCAUCGAUUUUUCCAACUCAAAACACCCGAGGGUUGUGGCAAAUCGCGCUUUAUUUAUUCACGUACGCACAUAAAAUUAGGGUCGAACCCCCUCAUGUUACAGAGUACAGCUCUAUGUAUGAAUGUAUGUUUUUUAAAUCUCACAGCUGCACGUGCCAGUGUCGUUAUCACUACGUUUGUAGGGUUUUAAAGCCGGUCUAGUUGAUUUUUCACGUUUUCAACACAUGUUGGAAGGCUUUAAACACUUUAAAAAUGUCCCGAAAAUGUCUUGUUCUUAUUGUGGAUUUACGAGCUUCGCAUUCCUCUUCCAUUGUGCAAAAUGCAGUAAAACCCAUGUUUAUGUCUGAUGUCGUUAAUUUCGAGUUCACUGUAUGCACGAUUUCAUUCAUACUAGAUAAAAAUAAAUAAAAAACUGGGUAAUGAAUGAGGGUUGUUAAUUAAUAAAAUAAGUAUAAGAAUACUUAGGGGUUAUUUUAUGAAUGAAUAAAACUACAAGUUGAAGAAAAAAUGUGGUAGCCUACAUUGUUUAGGUAAAUGACACUAAAGGAGAGCGUUAUGGCGAGUUUUGCACAUUAUACGCUUACGCAAAGGGUGCACAAACAACACAUAAACAUAUCAAAUGUAGUCUCUUACAUGUGUUUUGUGUUGUAAAGUACUUCUGAGGGUCAUACAUGGUUUUUUAAGAUUAUUUAAAAGCACCGACUUUG